CACCAGCGCCUCGAGUGGGGAUCGCGAUUAUUGGGUCUAAAGCGUCCGUAGCAGGCCUUGUAAAUGCUUUGUGAAAUCGGCAGGCUUAACCUGUCGGCGUGCAGAGUAGACUGUAGGGCUCGAGAUCGGGAGAGGUUAGAAGUAUUCCUAGGGUACCGGUAAAAUGGGUUAAUCCUGGGAGGGCUACCGAUGGCGAAGGCAUCUAACCAGAACGAUUCUGACUGUGAGGGACGAAAGCUAGGGGAGCAAAACG
rnacentral:rRNA from 1 species